GUGAGUCAUCGAAUCUUUGAACGCACAUUGCGCCCUGUGGUAUUCCGCAGGGCAUACCUGUUCGAGCGUCAUUUCAGCCCUCAAGCCUGGCUUGGUGUUGGGCCCGGCCUGUUCGCGGCCGGCCCUAAAGACAGUGGCGGCUCCGCCUAGCCCUAAGCGCAAGUACAGCUCUCGCUCUAGGGUCUGGGUGGUGGCCUGUCAGAAUCUCCAACUCUAUGGUUGACCUCGGAUCAGGUAGGGAUACCCGCUGAACUUAAGCAUAUCAAUAAGCGGAGGA
rnacentral:misc_RNA from 1 species